GUGCUUCCAUAGUGCAGACUAAAAUUGGAAGGAUGUCAAGAUGAUUAACAUGGUCCCCGCACAAGGAUGACAUGAAUUUUUGCAGCAUUUCAUAUUUUU
ensembl:snRNA U6 U6 spliceosomal RNA